rnacentral:rRNA from 1 species
GACGAACGCUGGCGGCGUGCUUAACACAUGCAAGUCGAACGGAAAGGCCUCUUUCGGGGGGUACUCGAGUGGCGAACGGGUGAGUAACACGUGAGUAACCUGCCCUUGACUUUGGGAUAACUUCAGGAAACUGGGGCUAAUACCGGAUAGGAGCUCCUGCUGCAUGGUGGGGGUUGGAAAGUUUCGGCGGUUGGGGAUGGACUCGCGGCUUAUCCGCUUGUUGGUGGGGUAGUGGCUUACCAAGGCUUUGACGGGUAGCCGGCCUGAGAGGGUGACCGGCCACAUUGGGACUGAGAUACGGCCCAGACUCCUACGGGAGGCAGCAGUGGGGAAUAUUGCACAAUGGGUGGAAGCCUGAUGCAGCAACGCCGUGUGCGGGAUGACGGCCUUCGGGUUGGAAACCGCUUUCGCUCAUGACGAAGCUUUGUGUGACGGUAGUGGGUAAAGAAGCACCGGCUAACUACGUG